CUCAGAUUGAACGCUGGCGGCAGGCCUAACACAUGCAAGUCGAGCGGUAACAGGGGUAGCUUGCUACCCGCUGACGAGCGGCGGACGGGUGAGUAAUGCAUAGGAAUCUGCCCGAUAGUGGGGGAUAACCUGGGGAAACCCAGGCUAAUACCGCAUACGUCCUACGGGAGAAAGGGGGCUUCGGCUCCCGCUAUUGGAUGAGCCUAUGUCGGAUUAGCUAGUUGGUGAGGUAAAGGCUCACCAAGGCAACGAUCCGUAGCUGGUCUGAGAGGAUGAUCAGCCACAUCGGGACUGAGACACGGCCCGAACUCCUACGGGAGGCAGCAGUGGGGAAUAUUGGACAAUGGGGGCAACCCUGAUCCAGCCAUGCCGCGUGUGUGAAGAAGGCCCUCGGGUUGUAAAGCACUUUCAGCGAGGAAGAACGCCUAUCGGUUAAUACCCGGUAGGAAAGACAUCACUCGCAGAAGAAGCACCGGCUAACUCCGUGCCAGCAGCCGCGGUAAUACGGAGGGUGCAAGCGUUAAUCGGAAUUACUGGGCGUAAAGCGCGCGUAGGUGGCUUGAUAAGCCGGUUGUGAAAGCCCCGGGCUCAACCUGGGAACGGCAUCCGGAACUGUCAGGCUAGAGUGCAGGAGAGGAAGGUAGAAUUCCCGGUGUAGCGGUGAAAUGCGUAGAGAUCGGGAGGAAUACCAGUGGCGAAGGCGGCCUUCUGGACUGACACUGACACUGAGGUGCGAAAGCGUGGGUAGCAAACAGGAUUAGAUACCCUGGUAGUCCACGCCGUAAACGAUGUCGACCAGCCGUUGGGUGCCUAGAGCACUUUGUGGCGAAGUUAACGCGAUAAGUCGACCG
rnacentral:rRNA from 1 species